GUUUCCUGCAAUAGACAGUGAGAGAGAAGGUGAAGCAGAACAGAGCCGGACCUUCCUCACACUAAAGGUGUGUUACUACCGUGACACCGGCUCGACCCGCACCUAUGCACCCAGACUGUGGCUCAGGAGUCGACUCUCCUCAAGGUUAAAUCCCACUUUUCCCAAGAUGCACCUGUGAACUGAGGCGGAAAGAUGCCGCGCACCAAACAGAACAACCCGAAAAAUUUAAAAGAUAAAAUCGAAGAGGCACAGAAAGAGCUUAAAGACCCCAAAGGCCCACAGAAAGGUAAGAGACCUUUGAUCAACCAUUUGUUUUUAAAGACAACAUGCGAGGAAUACUUUCUCUUUCAUUUCAGUGCUUUCUAGAAUUUUCUUUCUUUUUCACCAUCUGCUAGUUAAGCAGGAACUGAACAGCAGCUAACAAUUACUUUCAUUUUCAUUUCUUGAUUAAUCUGUUAGUUAUUUGGGCUGUGAAAUGUCAGAAAACGGUUUCUCAAAGCCCAACA